AGCCAGGGAAAACCCCUCACUGUCUCCGCAACGGCGCUCGAUUAGGACACUUCCCCUUAUCCAACAAGACAGCGCCGCGGCCAAAACAUCUAGCCUCCACACACACACAUGCACCUUUAUCACAAUAUUAGCAAUGACACAUGAACACACACACACACACACACACACGAGGUGACAGGAAUUGCUUCUGGCUUACCUACAGUGCAAAAGAGCAACAAAGAGGGCUGCGUAGAGAAGCGCCGGAGAGCUCAAGUUGCCUACUCGGAGCACGGUUUGCUGCAGAAGUCCACACAGGAAACACUGCGCCAAAAAAAAAAAAAAGACACCGCACCUGCCUCUACCUGAUAAAACAAAAGAAGAUGCUUUAAAGUUCACGGCAGGCUGAACCCGUACGAGAGACAGACACCAAUAAAAGCAUGUCCUCCUCUCUCAGGCAGCAGCUACCGACAGCGACCUAUAUCACAGUGACAGAACCCCGCUCCGGCUCCGGACUUAAAACACGCAGAAAAAAAACAAAUCAAGCGCACUCAAAGUGAAUGUAUUAAUACUCACAGGAAACAGACAGGCCCACUGACGUCAACGGGGGUCCCGUCUCCGCCUCUCCGCCAUGAGGUAUCCUCUCCGAGCAGCGGGGGGCUCCGGACGGCCGCGCCACCACCGCAGCGCCGCUGUCUCCUCGUCCUGACACCGAAGCCAGAGGUUUACCCUCGCGUCGAUUCGUAUUCGUUAAGCUGCACCUCCUCCUCCUCUUCGCGGUAGGAUGGUGUUGAGACUCCUUUCCGGCCGAGCUGUGAGGAUCCGCAGCGCGUGUCGUUUGUCGUAAAACCCCCCGGCGGACCCCUUCCACCCUCUCUUCUGCACAUAGUUUAGGACUGACGGUUUUCCCGGAGGUUCCUUGUUGUCAGGUCACGUUGUGCCCCUCCACCACUACCGACCGGGCUUUCCCAUGCACAAACCCGCAGCAGGGACACAACAGUGGGCCUCUCUGCACCAGUAAAGGAGCCCGUGGUGGUAAAUUUAAAACAUGGAUGAACUGUGGCCUCCAUUGAUGCCAAACAACCACUCAAAUACACGGUGGUGGAAGAAGUAGGCUACUCAGACCUUUUACUUCAGUUAAAGUGGUAAUACCACAGUUUAGAAAUACUUUUAUAAGUAAGUUUAUUUACUUUAUUUAUAUACGAAUAUUUUCCAAAUUCAGAAUAUUUCAUUUUAUAUUGUUGAAUUAUAUGUAUGCAUUAAUAUGUAAUGUUGCAGCUUAUACAUUUGAGGCCAGUUUUUUUUUUUUUUUGCUAUAUAUUCUGCUGGGGAGCAAAUAAUACAUCAUUAUUUAUCUGUUGAUUAUAUUUUUUACCAUUCUGGAUUGUAGUAGAGUAGAUGUGUAUAAAGAAAAUGGAAAUUACUAAGUACAGUACUUGAAUAAAUGUAUUUAGUUACUUUGCACCACUGUAAAUAAGUACAAUUCAACAGGACUCACAGAAAAGCAGUGUUUUUAUUUAAGUAUAUUUUUACGCUAAUAGGCUACUUCUGAGUACCGGUGCUGCGAGAGUUAUUUUAUGGCACUUGUUCCCAAAUAACCAUGUCCUUGACCUGGACAUUUCGCCAGCUUGGCUUUAUUUGUUAUAAUGUAAAACAUAAUGUGCAGGUGGGUAUUAAAGAUAGUCAUGCUGUUAAAAGAUGGGUAGACUCAGGUGGAUUUGGGUUUCCCAGGUAGGCUUACAAACCAAGUACUUUUAUUUCCUUUUGUCAGUUUAAUUCACAAAGGGAAUCUACUGCUCAAGCAGAAUUUUAACUAUGUGGUUUUGGUGCACUAUAGUUGAUUUUUCAGGUUAAUUAAGGCUAGAAUUUAUCUAAUAGGUGAUAUGUGUCUCUGUUUAAAAAAUAUAUAAAAUAGUGGUAGUAGGCCAACCUGUCCUGUGAUAAUUCCAGCUUGCUUAUCGAUCCACCCAGAUGUUACAACUUAUUUGCAUACAGCCAAUCAAAUAAUGUAAUUUUCAACUCUAUUUGCAUAAAACAGUAAUGUAACCAUUCUACCUGUGUAAGGAAAAGCAAACAAACCAGUCAAAAACACCAAUGAACUGAAAUAAAGCAAACAUUAUAACA